UGUGGGUGUUGGGGAUGCGGGAGAAGUAGGUGUUUUUUAAAGAGAAAAUUGCAAAACCUCUUGGGCAGGAUUCGACCUACUAGCCUCUUCUGCUGCAUAAUAAGGGAGGCAGCUUGUGUUGGCAGGAGCUUACAACACCAAAGAAGUACACCACUAGAGAGACCCAACCCUUCACAUUACUCUGCAUAUUACAGAGAAAGGAGGGCAGAGACCAUGCAGUCUACUGGGUAACAAUGGGUGCUUCCUGCUAUAGAUAUAACUUUAUUUAAAAAUAAGAGUUUCUGGAGAUGUUCUUCCAUUGAAUCAACUGGAACAUGCUGAGCUAGAUUCUCACCAGAAAAGGAGGAGGAAAUGAGGAUUUAGAGCAUUCAGGAUGUGCUUUUCUUCACCCCACACCAACUUAGAAGGUUUUCAAAAUAAAGUAAAUGUGGUUCCACAAUGUAAUUGUUUUUUUCUCUCGCUAGAUUUUAGUUUUCCCAAGUCAUCCAAUUUUUCUGUAUGGUGAAGCCAGAGCCCAAAAAUUCUUGGAUAUCCUUAUAAGGUAAAUAGUAGGGUGCAGGUCUUCUUGUGAAUUCUGAAU
ensembl:lncRNA novel transcript